GGCUAUGUAGCUCAGUUGGUUAGAGCACCGCACUCAUAAUGCGGGGGUCACAAGUUCAAGUCUCGUCAUAGCCACC
rnacentral:tRNA from 1 species